rnacentral:rRNA from 1 species
CCUACGGGCGGCAGCAGUGGGGAAUAUUGGACAAUGGGCGAAAGCCUGAUCCAGCCAUGCCGCGUGUGUGAAGAAGGCCUUCGGGUUGUAAAGCACUUUCAGUGGGGAAGAAAGCCUUGGGGCUAAUACCCUCGAGGAAGGACAUCACCCACAGAAGAAGCACCGGCUAACUCCGUGCCAGCAGCCGCGGUAAUACGGAGGGUGCGAGCGUUAAUCGGAAUUACUGGGCGUAAAGCGCGCGUAGGCGGUCUGAUAAGCCGGUUGUGAAAGCCCCGGGCUCAACCUGGGAACGGCAUCCGGAACUGGCAGGCUAGAGUGCAGGAGAGGAAGGUAGAAUUCCCGGUGUAGCAGUGAAAUGCGUAGAGAUCGGGAGGAAUACCAGUGGCGAAGGCGGCCUUCUGGACUGACACUGACGCUGAGGUGCGAAAGCGUGGGUAGCAAACAGGAUUAGAUACCCCAGUAGUC